UACCAGCACCCCGAGUGGUCGGGACGAUUAUUGGGCCUAAAGCAUCCGUAGCCGGUUCUACAAGUCUUCCGUUAAAUCCACCUGCUUAACAGAUGGGCUGCGGAGGAUACUAUAGAGCUAGGAGGCGGGAGAGGCAAGCGGUACUUGGUGGGUAGGGGUAAAAUCCGUUGAUCCAUUGAAGACCACCAGUGGCGAAGGCGGCUUGCCAGAACGCACUCGACGGUGAGGGAUGAAAGCUGGGGGAGCAAACCGG
rnacentral:rRNA from 1 species